rnacentral:rRNA from 1 species
UACGUAGGGUGCGAGCGUUAAUCGGAAUUACUGGGCGUAAAGCGUGCGUAGGUGGUUCGUUGUGUCUGUGGUGAAAGCCCCGGGCUUAACCUGGGAAUGGCCAUGGAAACUGGCGAGCUGGAGUGUGGCAGAGGGGGUGGAAUUCCGCGUGUAGCAGUGAAAUGCGUAGAGAUGCGGAGGAACACCGAUGGCGAAGGCAGCCCCCUGGGCUAACACUGACGCUGGAGGCACGAAAGCGUGGGGAGCAAACAGG